rnacentral:rRNA from 1 species
AACUCUGAGCGGUGGAUCACUCGGCUCGUGCGUCGAUGAAGAGCGCAGCCAACUGCGUGAAUUAGUGUGAAUUGCAGGAUAUCUUGAACAUCGACAUCUUGAACGCAUAUUGGCGGCCUCAGGUCUCCCUGUGGCCACGCCUGGCGAGGGUCG